UGCGGCUGGAUCCCCUCCUUUCUAGGAGCGUGGAGGACGUCCUCGGACGUCGUGCCACCAAUCCUAGGUCAGCCCCCGGUCCGCGAGGAUCGAGGGAGGCGACUCGAGGAAAGCGAUCCGCAUCCCUCCCGUAACGCUUGCUAUUCAGUCUUUAGGGACCGAGCUCCUCGGUUCUUUGACAAUGCUUCUCGUGGAAGCGUCGGAAGGUAUCAGGGUGCCGGGCCUAUAGCUCAGCUGGUUUAGAGCGCACGCCUGAUAAGCGUGAGGUCGGUGGUUCAAAUCCACCUAGGCCCACCAGUUCCGACGAUGCCGCUUGAUGGGGCUGUAGCUCAGUUGGUAGAGCGCCAGCUUUGCAAGCUGGAUGUCGUCGGUUCGACUCCGAUCAGCUCCACCAGCCGGUGAUGCCAGGACCUCGAGUCCUGGCGUGGCGGAGGAAACCGCUCCGCCGCCCGAAGCACUCUGACAAUCGAAUACGAAGGGUAAAGAAGAGCAUCGUCCAGCGAGGUCUUCGCGGGGUCCAGCGUUUCCGAAGCGUCUGGAUCUCGGCCUCGAACAAGGCGCCGCUCGAGCGAAAGCUCGGGAGGCCUGAGUUCAGGGUGACCAAGCUACUAAGGGCAUGUGGUGGAUGCCUAGGCUCUAGGAGGCGACGAAGGACGUGGGUAGCUGCGAUAAGCUACGGGGAGCCGCUAACCAGGCUUUGAUCCGUAGAUCUCCGAAUGGGGAAACCGG
rnacentral:misc_RNA from 1 species